rnacentral:rRNA from 1 species
AUACGAAGGGGGCAAGCGUUGUUCGGAAUAACUGGGCGUAAAGCGCACGUAGGCGGAAUGUUAAGUUAGAGGUGAAAUCCCAGGGCUCAACCCUGGAACUGCCUUUAAUACUGGCAAUCUAGAGACCGAGAGAGGUGAGUGGAAUUCCGAGUGUAGAGGUGAAAUUCGUAGAUAUUCGGAGGAACACCAGUGGCGAAGGCGGCUCACUGGCUCGAUACUGACGCUGAGGUGCGAAAGCGUGGGGAGCAAACAGGAUUAGAAACCCGUGUAGUCC